CACUGCCCAUCGCUACUACCAAUUGAAUGAUUUAGUGAGGUCUUCAGACCGAUACCUGGAGCGUCUUUUCGGUUGCGCCGGUGUGUUGGAAAGAUGACCAAACUUGAUCAUUUAGAGGAAGUAAAAGCCGUAACAAGGUUUCUGUAGGUGAACCUGGGAAG
rnacentral:rRNA from 1 species